rnacentral:lncRNA from 1 species
CGAAAAUGAAAUAGAGAAAGUUAUUGUUGUUUCACAGUGAGGGGUUUUGUGUUGGAGAGAAAACUGUGGGUUUAUGUUGUGUCAUGGUUGAAGGGAGUUUGAUGAAGUUUGAUUUAUGAUGGUUAUGGAGGAAACUAGGGAAAUUGAAGGUGAUUAAUUUUGUGUAGUGUUUGGGGUUUAAGGAUGAAGAGUUGGUGUAUAGAAUAUUGGUGGUCGGAUAAGGUAACACAGAGGUGUUGUUUAGUGGUGGUUGUAGUGGGAAGAAGAGGUAUGAAGAAUAUGUUUUUUUAUGGGAGUGAAAUGGGUGAGAUGAAAUGUAGUUUUGUGAGUCCUUUUUUAGUGAAGAGAGUGAGUGUAUGCUUGGAGAUAGAAGGAUUAUGGUUUGAAGAAGGUGAUAUAUGUGGGUAUUUAUGGUAGGAGAUGAAGAUGGAGUUGGGUGAGAGAGGAAGAUGAACAAUGAAGAUUCAACAGUAAUAAUCCUUCUUUCUAAGUUCACUCUCUUUUUUUCAAUGAAAGUCACUCACUCCCCUCUUAUUGUUUUGAUUUCGAAAAUUUGAGAGAUGAGAGAACUGAUUGGGGGCGACUGCUAGGUUCUUG